GCUUUUAAUUGAAGUCUGGAAUGAAGGGUUGAAUGAAAUUUUUUCUGUUUCCAUUAAAUUGUUUGAAUUUUAUUUUUAAGUCAAAAAGCUUAAAUAUAUAAAAGGGACGAGAAGACCCUAUAGAGUUUUAUAAAUAAAAUAAUCACGGUCAAGAAGAAGAUGCAAGGCUGUCUUUUAUUUUAUCUAUUUUGUUGGGGUGAUAUUAAAAUUUUAAAAACUUUUAUUUUACCAAAAUAAUUAUUUUUAGGUUGUUGAUCCAAUUUAAUUGAUUAAAAAUUAAAAUUACCUUAGGGAUAACAGCAUAAUUUUUUUACAGAGGUCCUUAUUAUAAAAAAGAUUGU
rnacentral:rRNA from 1 species